CGGUUAAAAAGCUCGUAGUUGGAUCUCGGCAAGUAGAGGGCGGUAUGCUUCGUAGCAUUACUGCCCUAUUACUUGUAGUUUUGCCAGAGGUUCCUGGGUGCUCUUAAUCGAGUGUCUAGGGAUGUUGGCAGGUUUACUUUGAAAAAAUUAGAGUGCUCAAAGCAGGCUAUUACGCUUGAAUAUUCGUGCAUGGAAUAAUAGAAUAGGAAGUUGUUUCUAUUUUGUUGGUUUUCAGAAAUCGACUUAAUGAUUAAUAGGGACAGUCGGGGGCAUUUGUAUUCAAACGACAGAGGUGAAAUUCUUGGACCGUUUGAAGACAAACUACUGCGAAAGCAUUUGCCAAGAAUGUUUUCAUUAAUCAAGAACGAAAGUUAGAGGUUCGAAGGCGAUUAGAUACCGCCCUAGUUCUAACCAUAAACGAUGCCAGCUAGCGAUCUGAGGACGUUUUUUUUGUAGACUCCUCAGGAAGCUUCCGGGAAACCAAAGCGUGUGGGUUCCGGGGGAAGUAUGGUUGCAAAGCUGAAACUUAAAGGAAUUGACGGAAGGGCACCACCAGGAGUGGAGCCUGCGGCUUAAUUUGACUCAACACGGGAAAUCUCACCAGGCCCGGACACUGGAAGGAUUGACAGAUUAAGAGCUCUUUCUCGAU
rnacentral:rRNA from 1 species